GGCCGCAUUUGCAGGCCUUGGAGUGGAGCGGGCAGGAAGGGAAGCACAGGAUGUUGUCUGGCUUCCUGGUAUUCUUAAAAGUUUUUACUGAAGCUUUGUUUUUGUCUUAUUAUUUUUUUUCAAAGACAGCAGUGUAGUAAAGUCUUUAGUAAAAUGAAAGCCCAAGGCAUCACCAAUUCCCUCUGAGAGGACCUGGACUGGAUUCUCCCAGAGUCUGAGCAAAGCCAUGCCCCAUGCCCGGCAUCUUGGGAAUGCGGGGGUGAGUGGUCAGCCUUCUGCCGUCACUGGCUGAAUGAACAGACCAUAAUGGGUCAAUUCUCUGCUGUCUGCUAUUUAAAACAACGGGUUCCUUCCUGUUUCCUAUGAGCUGACUGAGCCUUCUUCUGUGUUAGGGAGAGAGAGAGAGAAAAAAGAAACUCGGGAAUAAAGUGGCCCCUCUGAGACUGAAUGAGCUACACAUCUCGGCCCGCUGGGCCACAAAAGCUCCUAACUGUUUUAUCUGUCCAGAUGGUUUUCAUUUGCUGUUGGUGGCAUGACUCUCUGAGCUGAACUGAACCAGUGUGGUGCUGGGUGUGGAAGACCCAUCUGAGGAUUGUUGCCAACAGCACAAAGCAGAACUGGAAGGGAUGGCGUGCUGUUGCUUCUCCUGGAGAAACUUCUUGCACUGAUUUUCCUAAUAUGAACCCAGCUGUUAUCAUCAGAGGGGCUGGGUUGCUCACUGUCACUGAGGAUGGCUGCGGUUCUCCUGAGGGCGCUCUGGUCCUUGCAUCAUUUCCUGGCUCCCUUGACCUGUUGGCGCAGAUCCUACAUCCUGCUGGGGAGGACUUUCUAGCUUCUACCACUGAGCUGUGGGCCUUCCCAGUGAAGAUCCUUGAACACAUCUGCAUGAGACGUUGUGGGCUCUGGGCUUCCAGCUGGACUCGUGGAGGACAUCAUCGUGAGAUCCAGGCCCUCAGCUGGAUUCAUUGGAUCUCUAGUGCAUGAGCAGAUCUUUUCUGCACUUUUCUGCAUUUGACUUUUUGGGUGACUCUUACAAAAUAAUCCUAUAAAUUGUGUCCUAUAUUAAAUCUAUUCCCUUGUAAAA